CCCAGACUCCUACGGGAGGCAGCAGUGGGGGAUAUUGCACAAUGGGGGAAACCCUGAUGCAGCGACGCCGCGUGGGUGAAGAAGUAUUUCGGUAUGUAAAGCCCUAUCAGCAGGGAAGAAAGAAGACGGUACCUGACUAAGAAGCCCCGGCUAACUACGUGCCAGCAGCCGCGGUAAUACGUAGGGGGCGAGCGUUAUCCGGAUUCACUGGGUGUAAAGGGAGCGUAGACGGCCGUGCAAGCCAGGAGUGAAAGCCCGGGGCCCAACCCCGGGACUGCUCUUGGAACUGUGCGGCUGGAGUGCGGGAGGGGCAGGCGGAAUUCCUGGUGUAGCGGUGAAAUGCGUAGAUAUCAGGAGGAACACCGGCGGCGAAGGCGGCCUGCUGGACCGCGACUGACGUUGAGGCUCGAAAGCGUGGGGAGCGAACAGGAUUAGAUACCCCAGUA
rnacentral:rRNA from 1 species